rnacentral:rRNA from 1 species
CCUACGGGUGGCAGCAGUGGGGCAUAUUGGGCAAUGGGCGCAAGCCUGACCCAGCAACGCCGCGUGAAGGAAGAAGGCCCUCGGGUUGUAAACUUCUUUUGUCAGGGACGAAGCAAGUGACGGUACCUGACGAAUAAGCCACGGCUAACUACGUGCCAGCAGCCGCGGUAAUACGUAGGGGGCAAGCGUUCACCGGAUUUACUGGGUGAAAAGGGCGUGUAGGCGGGGAAGCAAGUCAGAUGUGAAAUUCCAGGGCUCAACCCUGGAACUGCAUUUGAAACUGUUUUGCUUGAGUGAUGGAGAGGCAGGCGGAAUUCCGUGUGUAGCGGUGAAAUGCGUAGAGAUACGGAGGAACACCAGUGGCGAAGGCGGCCUGCUGGACAUUAACUGACGCUGAGGCGCGAAAGCGUGGGGAGCAAACAGGAUUAGAUACCCCAGUAGUC